rnacentral:rRNA from 1 species
UACGUAGGGCGCAAGCGUUGUCCGGAAUUAUUGGGCGUAAAGAGCUCGUAGGUGGUGUGUCGCGUCUGCCGUGAAAGCCCGGGGCUUAACUCCGGGUCUGCGGUGGAUACGGGCAGACUAGAGGCAGGUAGGGGAGAACGGAAUUCCCGGUGUAGCGGUGAAAUGCGCAGAUAUCGGGAGGAACACCGGUGGCGAAGGCGGGUUCUCUGGGCCCUGUAC